rnacentral:tRNA from 1 species
GCCGGCUUAGCUCAGCUGGUAGAGCACCUCAUUCGUAAUGAGGGGGUCGCGUGUUCGAGUCACGCAGCCGGCACCA